GUGACUUUACUCAUUUGGGGAUUCUUGAAUUAGUUGAAAUUGUAGCGUGAUUUUUGUGCUUAAUACUUUAUACUUUAUUUUAAAUCUAAAACAUAUUUUAAUCUCUGUUUCCAUAACAGAUGACAAUCUGAGGUUACCAUUAAAGAUGGUAGUGAUUUAACAACAACAACAAUUUCAGACCAAGUUGCAGAACAAUCUCUCACAGCAAUAGAAAUCUGAGAUACAAUACGUCAAGAAACCAUUUUCGCCUCUCGCCCACAUAAUACUGAUGGGGAAGACAUUCACUAUCCAACUGGAGAGACUAUUCGCGAAAAUCGGGAUACGCUUCAAGCAAAUAUGUACACCGUGUCUUCCACUGACAAAGACAACACAAGCAAUCAGCCAUCACAGCUCCCCGCCGCCAGCACUGCGGAAACCAGCAAAUGAUAACUUAAACACACUAUCACAAAGGAAGAGUGAGAGGUAUUCUCUACAUUGGUCUCCCAUCUAUUUUAGAUAUUUAUCUUGUCUAUUUUGCUCAUCAGUUGUUAUAAAGUUUUCCGGAACUUUUAUGAAGAAUAAUGUGUUCAACUAAUAACAUUUAUUAUGCUGCACUAGAGUGGAAAUUUGUGACAAACUAUUAUUUUUUGAUUUUAUUGUCAAUGAAUAUGUACUACCAUUCUGGGACAUGAUUGGCGCCACUCUUUUGCUUACUCAGACUGCUAUAGAUGUUGCCGACAUACGAAUUUGCAGACUACUUUUUGUGGAUCAUCAAGUCAAAUGAGUUGGCAGCCACCUAAUUUUCCAUGCAUUUGAGACAUCACCUUUGCAGCUUUACGAAGUUAGUUUUUCAUAGAGAAAGCAGAUAAUUUGGAUGUAUCAUAUAUAACUAUAUGGGUAUGAACCGAUUCAGAAGAUAAGACAAUUACUCUAAUCGAUAAUGAUAUAUGGAGCAGCAAUAGUACAGUCAUAUGGAUUACGAGGAGAUUACACAGGUUUGAACAUAUCACGCUUCCAGCAAAGCUAUAUAAUAGUUGAAUAAUGUGAAGAAUAUAUCUUUACAUGCUCUUCAAAUGGUUGGAUCGAAUUGAAAUAGUACUUGGAUACCCCGACAAACAAUGAAUAGUGAAUCAAUCUUUCCAUUUAUUGCAUCUAUAAUCUGGUCAUAGGGAAGCUGAUUCGACACCUCUCUUAGGUCAGGAUCUCCAUUAUUUAUUUCAUGAUUGCUACUUAUUAGUACUAAAUUUUAUAUCUAGCUCCAAUUAUUUUAAUGGAAUGUCUUACUUUGAACUUGUAGAUUAUUUUUACAUCACAGAAUUACCUAUAUUGUUGCUACAACUCUAUGAUGUUUCUAUCUAACUGAACUUCAAUCUCCUAUAAUUUCAUCUAUGUUUUAUAUAUUGAGAUAAAAUAUUUGUCACAGUCAUCUGUCGUAAGUAUGUAAGCUAGGGCAAAUGAGUUGUUAAAUUGAAAAUGCCAAGGCUUUAUGGAGCGUGGAUUUCAACAUUUGGAGCCUCAAUUACACUUUUUCUAUUUAUGGACUGAAUGUAGCUCUACGUGAAAACAAACAUAUACAGACAGAUUUGGAGUCGAGUGAUGCAUCCAGAAUGGGCACAUCAACUUGAUACUGGAGGUGGUUCUACGGUGAUUAUUAACAUGCUAAGUGACCAAAAGCACUCCUACUUCAAAAUGAGAGUUAUCCUUCAAAGUACUUCCAGAUGCUAGGACAGGCUGAUGUGGAUGCCCAAUAUUAUUUCAGGUGGCUUUUGGGGAUGACUGUUUUGAUCUUGAAGCUUGGAGGAAGACUAACAUCACUUCAACUUCCCAUCACUGUCUUAAACUUAAUCUAUAUUGGAAGAUGGAGCAGUUGUACAUUUCAGUGAACCAACCAAGCCAUGGCUUGAGAAAACGAAGACAAAAUGCAGCACUAUGUACAUAGUAUAGAAUGUAAAGAUGCAAUGUAAAUAAUGCAUGUACCACUGUAAACAAACAAUGCCAACCAUAUAAUAUAUAUGUAGAAAUAGCAUG